CAUUGCAAACCAGAGAGCAGGAAGCAGGGAAGGAUGGAGAAGGAGGAGCGGGGAUAAUUCUAUGCCCUGAGGUGUGACAUUGGAUUCUGCUUGGACAGGCACCUGGUAUCAAUGUUCAGUCUGGCAUUGUUUCAACACAGUCAACCAUGGCUGAAGAUGACUAAAGGCAAGUCUUCGGCAGACCUUUUUUUCCCCCAAGAAGAAUGAUGAGUGACAAUUACCCAUGAGCCUCAUGGUAUCUGAUUACUAUUUCUCUGAACAGGCCCAACCUCUUGUUAUUCAAAGCCGUACUCUCAGCACCAUGAAAAAACAGAAGGAAAUUCACAUCCUGUGAAUAACAAAUACAGUACUAGCAUAUGGAUUUCAUGUGUGGGAAUGAUACAGAUACUAAUGGGGGCUAUAUCCUGAGCCCUGCCUCUUCUCUCUGUAACAUUCAUCACUGUAAUUACUACUUUGGAAGGUCUGCUUCUACAUCCAGACUUUAACGGAAGACUUUAUAUCCAUCCCUGGAUGUAAAGUGGAAAAGAGUUCAGUGUACAUUUGCUGGCUGGAUAAACUUAUUAUUCUUCCUCAAGGCCCAGUUGUUGUGAAGACAUAAACAUAGAAAUAAGGCAGCUACAUGACUGAGGUGCAAGAUGCAUAUCCUAAUCAAAGCACAGAAGGAAUUGGCUCCCAUAUUCUCUUCAUGUCACCAUGACACCUGUACUGAGGCUUGAGCAUCCCCCUAACACCUUGCUGCGACCAGCAAAAACAUGGGAGGAAAGGUGACCUCUCAGGUAGUUUGGAGGGAAAUAUAUGAUUUGCCAAAGCAA